CAGCAGCCGCGGUAAUACGAAGGGGGCUAGCGUUGCUCGGAAUGACUGGGCGUAAAGGGCGCGUAGGCGGCGAUCAAAGUCAGGCGUGAAAUUCCUGGGCUCAACCUGGGGGCUGCGCUUGAUACUGGGUUGCUUGAGUGGGGAAGAGGGUCGUGGAAUUCCCAGUGUAGAGGUGAAAUUCGUAGAUAUUGGGAAGAACACCGGUGGUGAAGGCGGCGACCUGGUCCUUUACUGACGCUGAGGCGCGAAAGCGUGGGGAGCAAUCAGGAUUAGAUACCCCCGUAGUCCCUGUCUCUUAUAC
rnacentral:rRNA from 1 species